UGGAAGUUUUGGAUGGUAACAAGGUCUCCGUUGGUGAACCAGCGGAGGGAUCAUUACCGAGUUUACAACUCCCAAACCCAAUGUGAACGUUACCAAACUGUUGCCUCGGCGGGAUCUCUGCCCCGGGUGCGUCGCAGCCCCGGACCAAGGCGCCCGCCGGAGGACCAACCAAAACUCUUAUUGUAUACCCCCUCGCGGGUUUUUUUAUAAUCUGAGCCUUCUCGGCGCCUCUCGUAGGCGUUUCGAAAAUGAAUCAAAACUUUCAACAACGGAUCUCUUGGUUCUGGCAUCGAUGAAGAACGCAGCGAAAUGCGAUAAGUAAUGUGAAUUGCAGAAUUCAGUGAAUCAUCGAAUCUUUGAACGCACAUUGCGCCCGCCAGUAUUCUGGCGGGCAUGCCUGUCCGAGCGUCAUUUCAACCCUCGAACCCCUCCGGGGGGUCGGCGUUGGGGAUCGGCCCUCCCUUAGCGGGGUGGCCGUCUCCGAAAUACAGUGGCGGUCUCGCCGCAGCCUCUCCUGCGCAGUAGUUUGCACACUCGCAUCGGGAGCGCGGCGCGUCCACAGCCGUUAAACACCCAACUUCUGAAAUGUUGACCUCGGAUCAGGUAGGAAUACCCGCUGAACUUAAGCAUAUCAAUAAGCGGAGGAA
rnacentral:rRNA from 1 species